UCAGAGGCGAUGAAGGGCGUGCUAAUCUGCGAUAAGCGCCGGUAAGGUGAUAUGAACCGUUAUAACCGGCGAUACCCGAAUGGGGAAACCCAGUGUGACUCGUCACACUAUCAUUAACUGAAUCCAUAGGUUAAUGAGGCGAACCGGGGGAACUGAAACAUCUAAGUACCCCGAGGAAAAGAAAUCAACCGAGAUUCCCCCAGUAGCGGCGAGCGAACGGGGAGGAGCCCAGAGCCUGAAUCAGCAUGUGUGUUAGUGGAAGCGUCUGGAAAGGCGCGCGAUACAGGGUGACAGCCCCGUACACAAAAGCGCAUGUGCUGUGAGCUCGAUGAGUAGGGCGGGACACGUGGUAUCCUGUCUGAAUAUGGGGGGACCAUCCUCCAAGGCUAAAUACUCCUGACUGACCGAUAGUGAACCAGUACCGUGAGGGAAAGGCGAAAAGAACCCCGGCGAGGGGAGUGAAAAAGAACCUGAAACCGUGUACGUACAAGCAGUGGGAGCCCCACCACCAAAGCAUUUGCUGUACCGCGUUGACGGAGCGAAGCGACGUCAAACCGAUAAAACAGCAGUGUAAAGUGAGCCGCAGGGCGCUUUGCGCGACAGCGCAAAGGCAGGCGGUUUCGCGUAGCGAAAGCGAAUGCUUUGGGGUGGGGUGACUGCGUACCUUUUGUAUAAUGGGUCAGCGACUUAUAUUCUGUAGCAAGGUUAACCGAAUAGGGGAGCCGGAGGGAAACCGAGUCUUAAUUGGGCGUUAAGUUGCAGGGUAUAGACCCGAAACCCGGUGAUCUAGCCAUGGGCAGGUUGAAGGUUGGGUAACACUAACUGGAGGACCGAACCGACUAAUGUUGAAAAAUUAGCGGAUGACCUGUGGCUGGGGGUGAAAGGCCAAUCAAACCGGGAGAUAGCUGGUUCUCCCCGAAAGCUAUUUAGGUAGCGCCUCGUGAAUUCAUCUCCGGGGGUAGAGCACUGUUUCGGCUAGGGGGCCAUCCCGGCUUACCAACCCGAUGCAAACUGCGAAUACCGGAGAAUGUUAUCACGGGAGACACACGGCGGGUGCUAACGUCCGUCGUGAAGAGGGAAACAACCCAGACCGCCAGCUAAGGUCCCAAAGUCAUGGUUAAGUGGGAAACGAUGUGGGAAGGCCCAGACAGCCAGGAUGUUGGCUUAGAAGCAGCCAUCAUUUAAAGAAAGCGUAAUAGCUCACUGGUCGAGUCGGCCUGCGCGGAAGAUGUAACGGGGCUAAACCAUGCACCGAAGCUGCGGCAGCGACACUGUGUGUUGUUGGGUAGGGGAGCGUUCUGUAAGCCUGUGAAGGUGUGUCGUGAGGCAUGCUGGAGGUAUCAGAAGUGCGAAUGCUGACAUAAGUAACGAUAAAGCGGGUGAAAAGCCCGCUCGCCGGAAGACCAAGGGUUCCUGUCCAACGUUAAUCGGGGCAGGGUGAGUCGACCCCUAAGGCGAGGCCGAAAGGCGUAGUCGAUGGGAAACGGGUUAAUAUUCCCGUACUUGGUGUUACUGCGAAGGGGGGACGGAGAAGGCUAUGUUGGCCGGG
rnacentral:rRNA from 1 species